CCCUCCACUGUUUUCACCACCUUGCACUCCAUGUGGCUCUCCUUUCCCCUGAUGCACCAGGUGAAGCCAGAUUUGGUCCACAAAGCAGUCAGAGAAGAGCAACACAUGCCUGUCCAAUGAGUGCUGACUGAGCACCAGGAACUGUGCUAGAAGUUAGAA
rnacentral:sRNA from 1 species